CCUACGGGGGGCUGCAGUGGGGAAUAUUGGACAAUGGGCGAAAGCCUGAUCCAGCCAUGCCGCGUGUGUGAAGAAGGCCUUCGGGUUGUAAAGCACUUUCAGUGGGGAAGAAAGCCUUGGGGCUAAUACCCUCGAGGAAGGACAUCACCCACAGAAGAAGCACCGGCUAACUCCGUGCCAGCAGCCGCGGUAAUACGGAGGGUGCGAGCGUUAAUCGGAAUUACUGGGCGUAAAGCGCGCGUAGGCGGUCUGAUAAGCCGGUUGUGAAAGCCCCGGGCUCAACCUGGGAACGGCAUCCGGAAGGGUGAGGUGAGAGGGAAGGAGAGAAGGAAAGAAUCCCCGGGGUGGGGGGGAAUGGGGGAGAGACGGGGAGGAUAACAAGGGGAGAGGGCGGCCUUAGGGAUUGACACGGACGCUAGGGUGCAAAGCAGUGGGAAGAACAAGGGUUAAGCUACCCUAGAGGUC
rnacentral:rRNA from 1 species